CCUAAAUCCCAGAGGACCUAGACCUAGACUAAAACAAAAAGAAUGGCAGCCAUUUUUCCCCACCCUUGAGAGAGCAACAGUGAGUGAGGACGGGAGUUUCAGUCCAAAGACGAGAAAAAUCUAUUUUUCCAGCAUUGUUAGCCUUCCUUUUCAUCAUUUUACACUACAAAUUAUAUCAUCAUUAAUCACAAAACUCACCAUGUAGACUACCCGUUGUCCCUAUUCUUCCACCGGAAAACUCCAUUAACGUAACCAACCAGAACUCCGUCCCCGUUCUUCAUCUCCAUUGCUAAAAUAGAUCUCACAGUCACCUUCAGAAAACACUGUUAAUCGCCGAUCUACCUCUCAAAACUUUCGGUCCAGCCGAGAUCGGGUUCGAGUUUUCCGUCAAGAUUCCGAUCGUGGGUUGCGCCUUGGUCCAAUUCUUGUCAUCAAUUUUCGCUGCUGAUUUUAGCCAUUGAUGGAUCCAAGAAUUUCUGGACGCGGAGGGUGUUGAUAUUUCGCGUAGCUGACCAUUGGAGAUAGCGAGAGAUGGUGAAGACACGUACUACUAGGCAGGAUGGAUAGCCACCAGUACCACAAGUCAAGGCCGUGAGAGGUUGAGGUCGCGGUAGAGGCCGCGGUUGGGGUAGAGGUGCAACUCGCACAGUAGUUAGGGCAGCACCUACAGAUCCACUAGUUGCCCCAAUUGAGGAGCAGGUUGAGCCUGUGGGGCAAGCUCAGGCACCACCUGUGCCUAUCUGAUUCCAGGCCUUCAUGAGGACUUCGCUUAGAUUUUGACAUAGUGCACCAGUCUUGCUCAGGUGGUCUCUGUUCCGGCCGCAGUAGCCACUUCUUAGGCUGGGGGAGGUACUCAGACUCCCGCUGCCUGAACACCAGAGUAGGUGAUGCAGGGACUCCAGACAUCGGGGGCACUACCAGCCUAGCCGGUUGCAGCUGCUCAGGCCCAUGUGGUUACUGUUAUGUCCGAAGAUGAGCAACGGAGAUUGCAGAGGUUUGGGAGACUCCAGCCUCCAUCUUUCAGUGGUACAGAGUCGGAAGAAGGUCAGGAUUUCUUGGGAAAGUGUCAGAGGAUUCUCCGUACAAUAGGUAUUAUUAAGACUAUUGGGGUCUUGUUCACUACUUUUCAGUUCUCUAGGGCUGCCUUCAGUUGGUGGGAGGAUUAUGGGAGGCGUAGGCCGGUCGGUGCAGCACGACUUACAUCGAAGGAGUUCUCCGUUCUCUUCUUGGAGAAGUUCGUGUUGUAGUCUCAUAGAGAGGAGCUACGGAUACAGUUUGAGCAGUUACGUCAGGAUGAUAUGUCUGUGACGCAGUACGAGAUGAGGUUUUUUGAGUUGACCCGUCAUGCUUUCUGGUUUGUUCCCACUGAUAGGGAGAGCAUCAGCAGGUUCAUUGAUGGCCUUACAUUUCAGCUGCGGGUGCUUAUGACUAGGGAGAGGGUGUCUGGUACGACUUCUGAUGAGGUUGUCGAUAUUGCUCGGCAGAUAGAGAUGAUCCGCAGCCAGGAGCGGGUUGAGAGGGAGACCCAGAGGCCUCGUGGAUCAGGUGGUUUUAGUGGUGUUCCUUAUGGAGGUCAAGUCUACCACGGCAAGGGUCGUCUUUACAAGCACGCUCAUACGGCUCGUCCAUUCACCGUGGUGCAUCAUCUGGCCAUGGUUCACACAGUUCUCAGCAGGGUCACUCAUCUAUCAGUGCCCUUCUAGCUCAGAGUUCGUAUCAUGCACCAACAACUCAGGGUUCAUCUAUGCGGGGUCUUUCUAGCAGUUAUCCCGGUGCUCCCUUCAGUCCCCAUCACUCGAACAAGGGAGUUGUUUUGAGUGUGGGAGUUUGGGCUUUUGUGGAGGCAGUGUCCUCGUCGUCAGGGAGGUCCAGCGCAGUAGAGGAGUCAGGUUGCGCCUUCUACACCAGUUGCUACACCACCCGCUCAGCCAGCUCAAGGUGGGGCCCAGUCAGCUAGAGGUCGCCCUAGAGGGUAAGGCCGA